rnacentral:rRNA from 1 species
AUUGAACGCUGGCGGAAUGCUUUACACAUGCAAGUCGAACGGCAGCACGGACUUCGGUCUGGUGGCGAGUGGCGAACGGGCGAGUAAUGUAUCGGAACGUGCCCAGUCGUGGGGGAUAACGUAGUGAAAAUUACGCUAAUACCGCAUACGAUCGAUGGAUGAAAGCGGGGGAUCGCAACACCUCGCGCGAUUGGAGGGGCCGUAAUCAGAUUAGGUAGUUGGUGGGGUAAAGGCCCACCAAGGCAACGAUCUGUAGCUGGUCUGAGAGGACGACCAGCCACACUGGAACUGAGACACGGUCCAGACUCCUACGGGAGGCAGCAGUGGGGAAUUUUGGACAAUGGGCGAAAGCCUGAUCCAGCCAUUCCGCGUGCAGGAUGAAGGCCCUCGGGUUGUAAACUGCUUUUGUACAGAACGAAAAGGUUUCUACUAAUACUAGGAGCUCAUGACGGUACUGUAAGAAUAAGCACCGGCUAACUACGUGCCAGCAGCCGCCGUAA